rnacentral:rRNA from 1 species
AACGAACGCUGGCGGCAUGCCUAACACAUGCAAGUCGAACGAGACCUUCGGGUCUAGUGUCGCACGGGUGCGUAACGCGUUGGAACCUGCCCUUAGGUUCGGAAUAACUCCCCGAAAGGGGUUCUAAUACCGGAUAAUGUCUUCGGUCCAAAGAUUUAUCGCCUUUGGAUGGGCCCGCGUUGGAUUAGCUAGUUGGUAGGGUAAAAGCCUACCAAGGCGACGAUCCAUAGCUGGUCUGAGAGGAUGAUCAGCCACACUGGGACUGAGACACGGCCCAGACUCCUACGGGAGGCAGGAGUGGGGAAUAUUGGACAAUGGGCGAAAGCCUGAUCCAGCAAUGCCGCGUGAGUGAUGAAGGCAUUAGGGUUGUAAAGAUCUUUUACCCGGGAUGAUAAUGACAGUACCGGGAGAAUAAGCUCCGGCUAACUCCGUG